rnacentral:rRNA from 1 species
GAUGAACGCUGGCGGCGUGCUUAACACAUGCAAGUCGAACGGAAAGGCCCAAGCUUGCUUGGGUACUCGAGUGGCGAACGGGUGAGUAACACGUGGGUGAUCUGCCCUGCACUUCGGGAUAAGCCUGGGAAACUGGGUCUAAUACCGGAUAGGACCACUUCUUGGAUGUUGUGGUGGAAAGUUUUUUCGGUGUGGGAUGAGCUCGCGGCCUAUCAGCUUGUUGGUGGGGUAAUGGCCUACCAAGGCGUCGGCGGGUAGCCGGCCUGAGAGAGUGUACGGCCACAUUGGGACUGAGAGGCGGCCCAGACUCCGACGGGAGGCAGCAGGGGGGAAUAUUGCACAAUGGGCGCAGGCCGGAUGCAGCGAGGCCGCGGGUGGGAUGACGGUCUUCGGGGUGUAAACGCCUUUCGCUAGGGACGAAGCGUUUUGUGACGGUACCUGGAGAAGAAGCACCGGCUAACUACGUG